GACGAACGCUGGCGGCGUGCUUAACACAUGCAAGUCGAACGAAGAGCGAUGGAAGCUUGCUUCUAUCAAUCUUAGUGGCGAACGGGUGAGUAACGCGUAAUCAACCUGCCCUUCAGAGGGGGACAACAGUUGGAAACGACUGCUAAUACCGCAUACGAUCUAACCUCGGCAUCGAGGAUAGAUGAAAGGUGGCCUCUAUUUAUAAGCUAUCACUGAAGGAGGGGAUUGCGUCUGAUUAGCUAGUUGGAGGGGUAACGGCCCACCAAGGCGAUGAUCAGUAGCCGGUCUGAGAGGAUGAACGGCCACAUUGGGACUGAGACACGGCCCAGACUCCUACGGGAGGCAGCAGUGGGGAAUCUUCCGCAAUGGACGAAAGUCUGACGGAGCAACGCCGCGUGAGUGAUGACGGCCUUCGGGUUGUAAAGCUCUGUUAAUCGGGACGAAAGGCCUUCUUGCGAAUAGUUAGAAGGAUUGACG
rnacentral:rRNA from 1 species